rnacentral:misc_RNA from 1 species
AGCAGCCGCGGUAAUUCCAGCUCCAAUAGCGUAUAUUAAAGUUGUUGCAGUUAAGAAGCUCGUAGUUGAAUUUCGGGAUCAAUUAAUCGGUCGUGCCUCUGGUACGCACUGGUUUUAUUGGUUUCUCCCUUCUGACGAACCAGGAUGUCACUAAUUUGGUGUCUUGGAGAAUCAGGACUGUUACUUUGAAAAAUUGAGUGUUAAAGCAGGCUAACGCUUGAAUACAUUAGCAUGGAAUAAUGAAAUAGGACUUUGAUCCUAUUUUGUGGUUUCUAGGNUCGACGUA